GGCUUGUUAGUUUAACGGUAGAACGUCGCUCUCGUAAAGCGAUGGAGGGGGUUCGAUUCCCCCACAAGCCU
rfam:Trachipleistophora hominis chromosome Tnknown scaffold00147, whole genome shotgun sequence.